rnacentral:rRNA from 1 species
GAUGAACGCUGGCGGCGUGCCUAAUACAUGCAAGUCGAGCGAACAGACGAGGAGCUUGCUCCUCUUACGUUAGCGGCGGACGGGUGAGUAACACGUGGAUAACCUACCUAUAAGACUGGGAUAACUUCGGGAAACCGGAGCUAAUACCGGAUAAUAUAUUUAACCGCAUGGUUCAAUAGUGAAAGACGGUUUUGCUGUCACUUAUAGAUGGAUCCGCGCCGCAUUAGCUAGUUGGUAAGGUAACGGCUUACCAAGGCAACGAUGCGUAGCCGACCUGGGAGGGUGAUCGGCCACACUGGAACUGAGACACGCUCCAGACUCCUACGGGAGGAAGCAGUAGGGAAUCUUCCGCAAUGGGCGAAAGCCUGACGGAGCAACGCCGCGUGAGUGAUGAAGGUCUUCGGAUCGUAAAACUCUGUUAUUAGGGAAGAACAAAUGUGUAAGUAACUAUGCACGUCUUGACGGUACCUAAUCAGAAAGCCACGGCUAACUACGUG